AUUGAACGCUGGCGGAAGGCCUAACACAUGCAAGUCGAACGAGUGGCGGACGGGUGAGUAAUGUCUGGGAAAAUGCCUGAUGGAGGGGGAUAAAUACUGGAAACGGUAGCUAAUACCGCAUACCAUCAGAUGUGCCCAGAUGGGAUUGGCUGGUUGGUGGGGUAACGGCUCACCAAGGAGACGAUCACUAGCUGGUCUGAGAGGCUGACCAGCCACAGUUGACCUGAGACACGGUCCAGACUCCGACGGUAGGAUGCAGUGGUGAAUAUUGCACAAUGGUCGCAAGCCUGAUGCAGCCAUGCCGCGUGUAGUAAGAAGGCCUUCGGGUUGUAAAGUACUUUCAGCGGGGAGGCGUUACCCGCAGAAGAAGCACCGGCUAACUCCGUGCCAGCCGCCGCGGUAAUAC
rnacentral:rRNA from 1 species